UAUAUAAUACUCUAGAUUGCGCCCUGCGAUCUUAAAAUGGGUGACGGUUGCGACAGAGAUAAAUGAGCCUAUUUGGUCGGUAGUCUCUUUUUAAUUUUAGGGGAAUAUCGACGACGUGACUAUCCCACUUUAUCGAGUAAUAUGUGUUGACAGUUGGAGCGGGUGGUGAUGAGAAAUGGUAUUUGGUCUUCGGACGUGGAUGAUCGUGGUUCGAAUCCCAUACCAACUUUACCUUUUUUAUUUUUAUUUAAUCAAUAUUGCGUUUAUUAGUUAUUUUUACUUCUGAAAAAUGAACCUAAGUAAAUCUAGCAGAUAAUAAACGUAGUACCUAUGUAUAGUAAGUUAAUAUUGGAAUACAUAAUUUAUUGUGAACUCCAUAGUAAAAUAAAAGUCAUUCGUUAUUAAUAUAAAUUCGUCCUUAUUCGAAUGAUGUGAAUAAUAUUUGUUUUGCUUCUACUUUUUUAAAAAAUUGUAACAAUAGUUUCAUAAAUAAAAAUAAUGUCUAAUUACUUAUAAUUUAAUCGGUCAUUUCAAAAACAGCAAAGUCCACAAUUUUGAGAAACUAACUUUUUGAGAGGAAUAGACUCAUUUAAGAUAAACGUUGUGUGCAAAAACGACACCAGUCCAGUAAAAACAUUAGGAACAAAACUACAAUAUAACUUUGAAUUUUGAUGUCAUCCAUCUUUCGACUAUAUAGUUAAGUUUCAUUUCAUUUUUGAAAUGACCGAUUCAAUUAAUAAAUCGAUGGUACAUUAUGUUGAUAUUAACUAUUGGUAAUUUUUUACGAAUAUUUUUAAUUACUUUAUAGUAUUCUACCAUUAACUUAUUAAAAAAAAAUAACAUUGGCUUUAUAUUUUUAAAAAUCUAUAGGUACCUACACAGUUUUUCUUAUUUGUUAUAUAUUUCUUUGCAUAGAUUUAUUGUAGAGAUGUAAUAAUAUCUAAUAAACGCAAUAUUGAUUAAAUUAAAAAUAAAAAAGUAAAGAUUGGUAUGGGAUUCGAACCAGGAUUAUCCACGUCCGAAGACAAACGACCAGUUCUCGUCGCCAUCCGCUCGAACUGUCAAACCAUCUAAAAUACUCGAAGACAGAGUAGGAUAGUGACGUCGUCGAUACUCCCCUUGAAUUAGAAAGAGACUACCGACCAAAUAGGCUCAUUUAUCUCUGUCGCAACCGUCACCCAUUUUAAGAUCGUAAGGCGCAAUCUAGAGUAUUAUAAAUCUAUGUGUGUAUGUAAAUAAAUUGAAACAAGUCUUGUUUGUAUAUACUGUUAUUAUUUAAAACUCUAAAUAAUUUAUGUUAGUCUUUUAACAAAAAUGAAGCUCAAAAAACUACACUUGUUUACAGUGCAAAUGAUUUUUUAAUGGCAAGAGGGAUUUAGGAUUUCAUUUGCAGGAAAAACAUGGGCAACCUACCCAGUUGGUAAAAUUGCAAUUCAAAAACUCUUUAGAUUUUACUGUCUGGAUGGCACAGGAAGAGAAACAAAAUAAUGUUCUGUACUGCAGUCACAGGAGUACAUAGUAGAGAUAUAAUAAAAAAGCUGUUCAACAUCACCGGACACCAUUUAAUUUUUAGAAAAUGAAAAGUCUUCAGGUUGAAUGCGAUCUGUAGUAUUGCUACAUAAUGAAUGUGUUUAGAUAUGGUAUUUUUUAUUGAAUAAUCUAUACAGGCCCAACUAAAUGAAUGUAUACAUAUAUUGCAGAAAGUGCAUUUAAUGGAGCAGCAAGUUUUUUUUGUGUUUCAAUGAGGUAUUCAGUUUUUUCUUUUAGUAUAUACACAUUAUCUUGUAAAAUAGCAAGCUAAUACAGUUCGAUAUCUAGACAUUAUAGAGCUUUCAACAGGUUUACCUUUUUUAAGCUUUAUAAUUCUUUCGACAGUUUUAUUUCUUAAAUAAACAAUAACAACCGAUGUUUCAAUGGCCAUAUUAUUGGUAUUAAUUCCAUAACCCUUCCUAUAACAAUAGUCCCAUUGUUGGAAGUUAUUGCACUAGUUCUGCUGGAAAUACUUACCAAAGUUGUAUGUAUCUGCAUCAUUCAUCAGAAAUUUCAUUAAGAUUUACUUGCCAUGCCCUCUCUAUGUACCAGGGACAUAACAGUCUAGUAGGAACAGAAAACAUUACGUUCAGGCAUUGUAAAAAGUGUUAUGUCUGACAUGAAAAUAUUUGACUAUAUAAUACCAGAACGCUCAUGUAUUUUUUCAAAAAAAGUGGGUAAAUAAAAGUAUCUUUUCUAUUUGAACAUAAGAAAACAAUGGGAAAUUCAUACUGUCAUAAGUUCAAAGUGAUAGGAAAUGAGCCCAUGAGUUCCAUAAAUUGCGAUUUACCAAACUUAAUUAAUAUUUCCUUUUGCACAGCAUUCAUGGAAAUACUUAAGACAAAAAUCAUUAUUGUUAAAUUCGGGAUGAUUAUCAAUUAGUAUGCCCUGUUGGUUGUAAAAUAAUAUUGGACAUGACCCAGUCUGUAAGCAUUCAAUUACCCAUAAAUGAACACUGGUUGCGCCUACAUCCAUCUUUCAAAUCAAUGUCAUAGGAGUGUUUAAUGUUCGUGUUAUCUUGUCUUGUAAGUAAAUCAGCUCUCAAUAAUAUUUAAAAAAUGGACUAGUGGUAACAUUUUUGUUUUAAAUUAUAUUGUGUAUAUGCAAAUAUUUUACUUACAUUUUUGAAUAUGCCCAUAAUGUGUUUUAAAAUAAUAAAUGUUACUGCACAACAAUCAGUUUGAAUAUUUUUAGAUAUGUACUAGUAUUUGAUUAGUACACGAAAUGCAGCAGACAUGUUCUCUCUUCUAUCUUAAGAGCUGAUUUAAUCUCUACUUGUAUCUGUAAAGUUUAUCAUUUUUCCCAUAGCCAAUUUUAACACUCCCGGUUCCUCAACGUCUAUAUCCAAACCUGUUACAAUCACAUUAUCAUAUUUCUCUUCUCGUUCUCUAGGUAAUCUAGUCUAGUAAUUAAUUCUCGAACUGUCUUGUUUGUAUUAAAUAUCUUAAUUAUGUACUUAUUUUAUUUUUAUAAUGAAAAUUAAUAAAUUAACCAUAUGCAGCACAGCAAACAAAUGUUUUCGGAAAUAUAUUUAUAAGAAUUUAAUUGCCUCUUUUUUGUAUAGGUAUGACAUAUUAAGUAAAAACUACUACAUUUAUUAAUAUAAUAUUUAUUAUUAUACAUAAGUAAAAACUAUUUUUAUAGCUAGGAAUUACUUUAUUAAAUGGUCUUAAACCUGUUCAUAAAUUUUGUUACUAUAUUUUUUAAUUCCGAUUAUAACAAUAAUAACUUUUUAGUUUAGAUUUAGGUCAAAGUGUGUAAUGUCAUGUUUUAUGUAUUUUUUAACCCUAACACAUUUGUAUGUAGCAAAUCAUAUUUGUUAUUCUUAUCUUAUUUUAAUUAUAUUCAUUUAAGUUUUGAUUUAAUGAAAUAAACCUAUCAGUCAAAAAACUGUUGUUUAGUUGUGUACACCCAAAAACUAGCUUGAGGUAAUACAGACGUCAAUUGAAUAUGACAAAUCCACGUCAUAAAGACGUCUUUCUAUGGUCAAAAUGUCAGCCUAAAGACGUCAUUUAUUAUGUCUUAUGUCACAAAAUUACCACAAUAAAACGUUAAAUAUAAAAUUGCUCAAUUUAAUGUCAUUCAAGUUCCAUGUGAUGUAUAGGGUUUUUCAUCAACAGUCAUUUGUUUCGGCUUCUGUCAGAUUUCAUAUAAUCCGUGUAUAAUAUUAAUAUACACAGAUUAUACGAAAUGUGACAGAAGCCCGAAACAAGUACAAUCGAUGAAAAGCCCAAUUGAUGGCAAAUUGGUUAUUAAACCUGACAUUUCGGUCAUGUUUAUGUCACCGAUCAAUUAAGACUAAAAAAACACCUCAUUUAGAUGUUACUCUGUUUGCUGGUCAGUUAGAUGAUUUGAAAUACAUGGAUUACUGAAUUUUAAAAAAGUUAAGAAAAGGUAAACUAUGGAAGCACUGGGUAAAGAAGAAAGAUGCAUUAAAUAUAAUAAAAAAAGACAACCUAUGACAAUAAAACAUUAACAUCAAAAUUGUUAACCUUUAUUCUGCUCAUACUUAACAUAAUCUUCCUAGUUGAAGUCCACAUACUGUGUAUUAAAACUUAAAGCCACUUUGUGGGCGUUUUUGGCAUAUUUUAAUAAUUGUUUUUAAUAGUAAAAUGUAUUAACAAAAUAGAUAUAAAAUUAUUAUUAUUAACACAUUCAUGAACACGCUUCGCCUGUAGCCACGUCUUCUUAUACUGCUACCUAUAUCUUCUUAUUCUUACUUGCUUUGGCUUUCAAUAUAAACCACAAUAAUACCACCAUUCAUUUUUAAGUAUAUUAUAUAUGUACCUAUAUUAUGUAAGAAAAUAGAAUUUACCUAAUAACUCACCUCGUCCCCAGGUAAAGUAAAGGUGCUACACCACUUAAAUGUUUUUUCAUUCUUAUUUAUUUUGUAACUUUAGCCAGAAGUUAUAUGAUGGGAAUUAUUCAUACAAUACAUAUUAAUACUAUUAAAACUAAUACCUAUUAAUAUUCUAAAUAAUUAUUUAAUACUAAAAUAAAGAAAAAUGUCUAUCUAUACUACAUUAAUUGAGACAACAUUUUCACUUUUCUUUUUGCAGGAUCCUUGGGAUUUUAAAGCUCUUCUCUAUCUUGUUUUGUACAAUAAUUGUUUGAGAAUGGCAUACAUACAUAAUAAGAUGUUUCAUGUUCUUGUACUCCUGUGACUGAAUAUUAUUUUGUUUCUCUUUCUGUGACAUCCACACAGUAAAAUCUACAAAAACAGAACAGGUGAUUACAUGGGAAGUUAUACCAGUCUAUAUUCAUUGGUUAUACUACUUAUAGCUUACAUUUAUCUAGUAUCUACCUACAUAAAACUACCUUUGAUAUCAAUAUCAACCUUAAUACCCAAAAAAAUUAAUAAUAAUGUGGAAGUUGUUCCAUACCUACAAAUUUUACCAACUGGGUAGGUUGCCCAUGUUUUUCCUGCAAAUUAAAUCGUAAAUCCCUAUUAUUGCCAUUAAUUUGCACUGUAAACAAGUAUAUCUCUUUUGAGUUUAA
rnacentral:lncRNA from 1 species